rnacentral:rRNA from 1 species
AUGCCGGAUAUUGUACAGACAACGGGUGCAGCACAGGAUCCCAUCGGAACAAGGCCAGAUCGCCAGCGCCUCCCCGCUCGAUCCAGCGCCAGCGCCCGGUCGCUGGCCCCGGCCAUGGAUCCCUACAAGCACCGGCCGACGAGCGAGGCCAACUCUGGCUACUGGACCACCAACUCCGGUGCGCCCGUCUGGAACAACAACAACACCCUCACCGUAGUGAGCGGCUUCAGCUUCGCCUGCUGGUCGUCUGCACCGAAUGCCGCGCCCGGGACCGCCGGUGGCCUCGAGGACGCCGCCCAGGCUCAAGGCGUACGAGGGCGUGCCGCCGCCGUACGACAGGACCAAGCGCAUGGUCAUCCCUAA